UGGUUUGAUUCUGGCUCAGGAUGAACGCUGGCGGCAUGCCUAAUACAUGCAAGUCGAACGGAGUGAAGCCUUCGGGUUUCAUUCAGUGGCGAACGGGUGAGUAAUACGCAGGGAACCUGGCCAUGGCAGGGGGAUACACUCUGGAAACGGAGCAUAAGACCCCAUAGGCAGUAAGGCGGCAUCGCCUUACUGUUAAAGAAAGCUGAAAGGCUUUGGCGAUGGAUGGACCUGCGGUGCAUUAGCUUGUUGGUGAGGCAACGGCUUACCAAGGCGAUGAUGCAUAGCCGGCCUGAGAGGGCGGACGGCCACACUGGGACUGAGACACGGCCCAGACUCCUGCGGGAGGCAGCAGUAGGGAAUUUUCGUCAAUGGGCGCAAGCCUGAACGAGCAAUGCCGCGUGAGUGAGGAAGGUCUUCGGACUGUAAAGCUCUGUUGCCGGGGAAAAAGGGGAAAUGCAGGAAAUGGCAUUUCAUGGAUGGUACCCGGCCAGAAAGCCACGGCUAACUACGUGCCAGCAGCCGCGGUAAUACGUAGGUGGCGAGCGUUAUCCGGAAUGAUUGGGCGUAAAGGGUGCGCAGGCGGUCUGUUAAGUCUGAAGGCAAAGGGAUGAGCUCAACUCAUUUAUGAUUCAGAAACUGGCAGACUUGAGGACAGGAGAGGGCGGUGGAACUCCAUGUGUAGCGGUAAAAUGCGCAGAGAUAUGGAAGAACACCAGUGGCGAAGGCGGCCGCCUGGCCUGUGACUGACGCUGAGGCACGAAAGCGUGGGGAGCAAAUAGGAUUAGAUACCCUAGUAGUCCACGCCGUAAACGAUGAGGAGCAGGUGUUGGGAGUGAAAUCUCAGUGCCGAAGCCAACGCAGUGACUCCUCCGCCUGGGGAGUAUGCACGCAAGUGUGAAACUCAAAGGAAUUGACGGGGGCCCGCACAAGCGGUGGAGUAUGUGGUUUAAUUCGAAGCAACGCGAAGAACCUUACCAGGUUUUGACAUCGGAUGCGAAGGCGCAGAGAUGCGCUGGAGGCUAUCAUCCAGACAGGUGGUGCAUGGUUGUCGUCAGCUCGUGUCGUGAGAUGUUCAGUUAAGUCUGGCAACGAGCGCAACCCCCGUGGUAUGUUACUAACGCAUUUGGGCGAGGACUCAUAUCAGACUGCCGGUGACAAACCGGAGGAAGGCGGGGAUGACGUCAAAUCAUCAUGCCCCUUAUGACCUGGGCUACACACGUACUACAAUGGCGUCUACAGAGGGAAGCGACCCUGAGAAGGGAAGCGAAACCGGAAAAGGGCGUCCCAGUUCGGAUUGAAGUCUGCAACCCGACUUCAUGAAGAUGGAAUCGCUAGUAAUCGCGGAUCAGCAUGCCGCGGUGAAUACGUUCCCGGGCCUUGUACACACCGCCCGUCAAACCAUGGAAGCCGGCAACGCCCGAAGCCGGUGGCAUAACCUUUUAGGAGUGAGCCGUCGAAGGCGGGGCCGAUGACUGGGGUUAAGUCGUAACAAGGUAGCC
rnacentral:rRNA from 1 species